rnacentral:rRNA from 1 species
AUUGAACGCUGGCGGCAGGCCUAACACAUGCAAGUCGAGCGGAGCGGCGGACGGGUGAGUCAUGCCUAGGAAUCUGCCUGGUAGUGGGGGAUAACGUCCGGAAACGGGCGCUAAUACCGCAUACUAUCAGAUGAGCCUAGGUCGGAUUAGCUAGUUGGUGGGGUAAAGGCCUACCUAGGCGACGAUCCCUAGCUGGUCUGAGAGGAUGACCAGCCAGACUGGAACUGAUACACGGGCCAGAAUCCUACGGGAGGCAGCAGUGGGGAAUAUGGCACGAUGGGCGCAAGCCUGAUGCAGCCAUGCCGCGUGUAUGAAGAAGGCCUUCGGGUUGUAAAGUACUUUCAGCGGGGAGGCGUUACCCGCAGAAGAAGCACAGGCUAACGCCGUGCCAGCAGCAGCGGUAAUUC